rnacentral:rRNA from 1 species
AUUGAACGCUGGCGGCAGGCCUAACACAUGCAAGUCGAACGCGUGGCGGGCGGGUGAGUCAUGUCUGAAAAACUGCCUGAUGGAGGGAGAUAACUACUGGAAACGGUAACUUAUACCGCAUUCCAUCAGAUGUGCCCAGAUGGGAUUAGCUUAUUGGUGGGGUAACGUCUCACCCAGGCGACGAUCCCUAGCUGGUCUGAGAGGAUGACCAGCCACACUGGAACUGAGACACGGUCCAGACUUCUACGGGAGGCAGCAGUGGGGAAUAGUGCACAAUGGGCGCAAGCCUGAUGCAGCCAUGCCGAGGGUAUGAAGAAGGCCUUCGGGUUGUAAAGUACUUUCAGCGGGGAGGCGUUACCCGCAGAAGAAGCACCGGCUAACUCCGUGCCAGCAGCCGCGGUAAUAC